AUUGAACGCUGGUGGCAUGCCUUACACAUGCAAGUCGAACGGUAGCGGGCCUUCGGGUGCCGACGAGUGGCGAACGGGUGAGUAAUGUAUCGGAACGUACCUUUCAGUGGGGGAUAACGUAGCGAAAGUUACGCUAAUACCGCAUAUUCUGUGCGCAGGAAAGCAGGGGACCUUCGGGCCUUGCGCUGAUUGAGCGGCCGAUAUCAGAUUAGCUAGUUGGUGAGGUAAAGGCUCACCAAGGCAACGAUCUGUAGCGGGUCUGAGAGGAUGAUCCGCCACACUGGAGCUGAGACACGGUCCAGACUCCUACGGGAGGCAGCAGUGGGGAAUUUUGGACAAUGGGGGCAACCCUGAUCCAGCCAUGCCGCGUGAGUGAAGAAGGCCUUCGGGUUGUAAAGCUCUUUCGGCCGGGAAGAAAUCGUAUCAGCUAAUACCUGGUGCGGAUGACGGUACCGGCAUAAGAAGCACCGGCUAACUACGUGCCAGCAGCCGCCGUAAGAC
rnacentral:rRNA from 1 species